rnacentral:rRNA from 1 species
AACGAACGCUGGCGGCAUGCCUAACACAUGCAAGUCGAACGAUCCCCUCGGGGCUAGUGGCGCACGGGUGCGUAACGCGUGGGAACCUGCCCUUAGGUUCGGAAUAACUCAGAGAAAUUUGAGCUAAUACCGGAUAAUGUCUUCGGACCAAAGAUUUAUCGCCUUUGGAUGGGCCCGCGUUGGAUUAGCUAGUUGGUGGGGUAAAGGCCUACCAAGGCGACGAUCCAUAGCUGGUCUGAGAGGAUGAUCAGCCACACUGGGACUGAGACACGGCCCAGACUCCUACGGGAGGCAGCAGUGGGGAAUAUUGGACAAUGGGCGAAAGCCUGAUCCAGCAAUGCCGCGUGAGUGAUGAAGGCCUUAGGGUUGUAAAGCUCUUUUACCCGGGAUGAUAAUGACAGUACCGGGAGAAUAAGCCCCGGCUAACUCCGUG